rnacentral:misc_RNA from 1 species
GUGGAGAUGAGCUUUCCUCUCCAAAUCCGAUCUGGCACUUCUCUCCUUUUCAAUCUCCUGCUGCAGCAGCUCCCUAUGCCUCAGAGAUUCUUGCAACUCUUCCUUAUGUUUCCUUCUAAGAUCCCUGAUUUCUUCCUCAAGUUGGUUUGCACGACCCUCUUGAGUGUCAGCUUCCUCUUUUGCUGCAAGAUACUCCUGCCUGAUUUCAGCUGCUCUCUUUCUCUAUCUCGGU